GCCGUACAAAAACAAGUUCCUUGCCUCCAUGGGCUGCGGUUGGCUCUGUAUCAGGAGGCUGAAUAAUCCGUGAGGAGCAAUGCAAUG
rfam:Candidatus Regiella insecticola LSR1 genomic scaffold Scaffold2, whole genome shotgun sequence.